rnacentral:rRNA from 1 species
UUCGCAAUGCCCGAAAGGGUGACGAAGCGACGCCGCGUGUGGGAAGAAGGCCUUCGGGUUGUAAACCACUGUCGGGAGUUAAGAAAUGCAAGGAUAUUAAUAGUGUCUUUGUUUGACUAAGGCUCCGGAGGAAGCCACGGCUAACUCUGUGCCAGCAGCCGCGGUAAUACAGAGGCGGCAAGCGUUGUUCGGAAUUAUUGGGCGUAAAGAGCACGUAGGCGGCUAUGUAAGUCGGUUGUGAAAGCCUUCCGCUCAACGGAAGAACAGCAUCCGAUACUACAUGGCUUGAGUGCGGGAGGGGAGAGUGGAACUUCUGGUGGAGCGGUGAAAUGCGUAGAUAUCAGAAGGAACGCCGGCGGCGAAAGCGGCUCUCUGGCCCAUAACUGACGCUGAGUGUGCGAAAGCUAGGGGAGCAAACGGGAUUAGAUACCCCGGUAAUCCUAGCCGUAAACGAUGGGCACUAAGUAGAGGGGUUUU